rnacentral:rRNA from 1 species
UACGUAGGGCGCGAGCGUUAUCCGGAAUUAUUGGGCGUAAAGAGCGUUCGGUAGGCGGCUUGUCGCGUCGUCCGUGAAAACCUGCGGCUCAACUGCCAGGCUGGCGGUCGAUACGGGCGAGGCUGGAGUUCGGUAGGGGAGACUGGAAUUCCGGGUGUAGCGGUGGAAUGCGUAGAGAUCCGGAAGAACACCGGUGGCGAAGGCGGUCGCUGGGCAGUAGCUGGAC